CCUACGGGAGGCAGCAGUAGGGAAUAUUGCUCAAUGGGGGAAACCCUGAAGCAGCAACGCCGCGUGGAGGAUGAAGGUUUUCGGAUUGUAAACUCCUUUUGUUAGAGAAGAUAAUGACGGUAUCUAACGAAUAAGCACCGGCUAACUCCGUGCCAGCAGCCGCGGUAAUACGGAGGGUGCAAGCGUUACUCGGAAUCACUGGGCGUAAAGGGCGCGUAGGCGGGAUAGCAAGUCAGAUGUGAAAUCCUAUGGCUUAACCAUAGAACUACCUUUGAAACUGUUAGUCUAGAGUAUGGGAGAGGUAGGUGGAAUUCUUGGUGUAGGCGUAAAAUCCGUAGAGAUCAAGAGGAAUACUCAUUGCGAAGGCGACCUGCUAGAACAUAACUGACGUUGAUGCGCGAAAGCGUGGGGAGCAAACAGGAUUAGAUACCCUUGUAGUC
rnacentral:rRNA from 1 species